UACGGGGGGGGCAAGCGUUGUUCGGAAUUACUGGGCGUAAAGGGCUCGUAGGCGGCCAACUAAGUCAGACGUGAAAUCCCUCAGCUUAACUGGGGAACUGCGUCUGAUACUGGAUGGCUUGGAUUUGGGAGAGGAAUGCGGAAUUCCAGGUGUAGCGGUGAAAUGCGUAGAUAUCUGGAGGAACACCGGUGGCGAAGGCGGCAUUCUGGACCAAUAUUGACGCUGAGGAGCGAAAGCCAGGGGAGCAAACGGG
rnacentral:rRNA from 1 species